ensembl:lncRNA
ACCUGGGGCACGUCCGCCACCCCAGUGGCCCCCGGCAGCGGUAGCAGGCUGUGCGCAGAAAGGGAAACUGAUUCAGAGAGGGACAGCAAAAAGCCAGUUUACUCUGCCUGCCCCUACAAAGGGGUCAGUUCCUUAGAGAGGCCAUUCCAGAUCCCCCAACUGCCUCUGCUAUUCCUUCACCUCACCACGCUCGGCCUCCCCUCUGUGGACCCAUCAAACCCUUGUUCAGUAGCCAGUCUAAUUGACAGACAUUCUACCAAUUCCUGAGCCCUUCCAUUCUCGGCCCCAGGAUGUCAGGAUGAAUACAACACAGCCUCCGCCCUCGGUGAGUCUGUAGUGUAUGGGUAAAUAGGCAUUCAGCAGGGAUCGGGGAAGAAGUGAGUACACAGUGGGACAAGCAGCUGCUCUGGGAGGGAACGGACAGGUGGUCAGAGGAGCCGUCUUUGAGGACUGACAAUUGGUGGAGAUCUGAGGGGUAAGGGGAGUGGGAGGAGGCUAUUCCAGGCAGAAGGAACAGCGUGCUGAAAGGUGGAAAGAAGGUUUUGUGAACUCAGGGGUGUCCUUGUGGUUAGGCAAGUGAAGUAAAGGAGCCAUUUAAAUAGAG